UACUGCUAGCUGUGCAAACUACAUUUCCAAAAGUGAUUGAUAUAUCCAUUCAUGUUAUAAAAACUGAUUCCUGCAGAAUUCGAAAACAUGUUUUAGAGCCUAUGCACCCGGGUACUCCUUAUCCAACCACUCAUUUCUGCAUCAGGAUUCGUGCAAAUAAUUUUCUCUUUUUUGUUUCUCUCAUAUAGAACAUGUUUUUGUACUUUCAACUUUGCAGCACAACAAAGCUUUCUAUGUAGAAUGUGGGAUAAAACUUACAGAUUUUUUGGUCCAACAUAAAUAUACAAAAUGAGAUUUAUUUGAUUAAAAAAUCUUAUUUUUCAUAUUUAUGUCGGACAAAAAAAUCUGAAAGUUUUAUCUCACAUUCUAGUUACAAAGUUAUGUUGUACUGCAAAGUUUGAAGUUCAAGACAUGUUUUAUAUGAGAGGAACAAAAAAGAGAAAAUUCCAUGUAAUAAGGUAGUUGUGUAGCACAGAUCUCAAAGCAACAAUGAAGCGUUAGGAUAGUGAGGCCCGGGUGCAUAAGCUCACAAAAUCUGCAUUCCUGCAGAAUUGACUGAGCAUGGCAUAUUAAUAUGCUACUGCUAGUCGUUGUAACCAACCACAACGACUGGUCGAGUUUUGUCCAGGUGUGAUCCAGUGGUUGAUAUUGCUAGACAACAUCAUCUCACCUCAUGUCUAGUCGUCCCCAUUUUCCCUACAUACGGUGGGGGCAGGCAAAUAUAUAAUGCAGAUGCUAGCUAAUCAAUAUCUCAAAACCCAUCCUCAGGUUGAGCUGUGGAGUUUUAGCAGCACUGUUUUUGUUCACAUAUUUGCCUUAACAGGAAAAUUACACAUUUGCUAUGACAAAGAUCAUCCUACUACAGAGGUGUAUCUAUGAGUGUAGGAUGGCUGGCUAUCAGGCAGUUUGGUGUGGUACAAGGUUUUGGUUACCGGUCGAAAUUUCCAGAUUUCCCAUGGUUACCGCAUAUUUCCGUGCCCCUCGGUAAAUCCCCGUACCGAGCAAAAAAUAUCAUUUUUUUUGAAUUUCUUAAUUUAAACGCUUGAUUUAUAGUAAAGUACAUAGGAUCUAAUUAAUGUCAUGAGAGUUGAUUCUGACGUGUUGGUAGCAACCUAGUUCCUGUUUUAGGAGGUCUCUGGUUCGAAUGUCCGUUCAUUCAUUUAUUUGAAUUCAAAAUUGAACUAUAAAAUUCGUUCAAAAUAUUCUCGGUAACCGUGGUAACCACAUUUACCGGUCCCCCUCGGUAAAAUUGCCUCAUUCGGUGACUAAAACCUUGGUGUGGUACCAAAAAGGCUGACAAAACUAGGUGGCCGGCGGCCCAUUGCAGAUUAACGUUAUUCGAUGGCCUCUCAAGCAUGGGUUCGAGAAAGGUCAAUCAAUAUACGUACAAGGUUCAGAUCAAUAGACGAGUCACUAAAUAUAUAGAGACAAUUAAUCUCCAAUUCUCCAUGGAUGGACAGUGCAAAAAUUCAAGCAUUGCACAACCAUUCCAUCUCCAUCACCAUCACCAUAUAUAGACUAGACAUACCAGAAAUUUCUUCUCGGAAAGUAGAGAGGAGAGUGAGAGUGAGCUCACCUUGAAAUCUGCGGCAAGAGAGGAGGGGCUUCACUUUCACUUUCACGCGGAGGAGGAGGAGGCUGGACCUGGACGACGCCGGCGACGGGUGCGUCAGUGGUGGAGAGGGGGGAGGACGAGCGGGACAUGAUGGAGGACAGAGAAAGCGUUUCGGCGGUGGCGGCGGCCGGAGAGCAGGCGUGGGCGGCGGAUGUUGGAAUUGUGCCACAGGGUGGAACGGGAACAGAAGAAGAGGUUAGGCUCAGCCCACUAGACCCACUCAGCCAGCCCACCUCCACACUAGUCCACACGAUCAAAUCAUAUCUAUCCUCUAGUAUGCACCUCCCUCGUUGGCACCGGGCAAACCUUGUUGUAGUAGACUGUCAGGAAUUCGUCGUGCUAAUGCCCCAUAGGACCAGCGCACCAGAACAGUAUCUGCCGCCGAUGAAGAGAAACGUAGAUCAGAAGGAUGCAACCUGUAGACACACGAACACAGACGAACGAAGACAAGAUCCACGUGGAUCCACUGAAGAUAAACACCGACCGAAUCCCGCGAGAUCCGCCGGAGAUAAACCGCCACACGCCCUCUAACGAUGCUAGAAACACCAACGAGACAGGGACAAGGCGGGGAGAAUCUUAUUCCAUCCGCAGAGAGCCACCACCGCCUUGCAUCUCUGAGCAGGACACAAAGCCUAACAAAACUCAAAAGAGUAUGAAAAAAAGAGCCCUUCCGCCGGCAAGGGCCGGGAUCCACCACGCCUCCAUGGCCCUAAGACCACAGAAGACGAGAUAGACCGGCGGCGACACCGGCGGGAGGCACGAGAAACCCUAGCCAAGGGGUCCUUUUUCUUCCCGUGGAAGAAAAGAAAACUCACUAUACAUACCCUGUUUAAUUUCCAACUUCCUUUCUCUCCUUCCCAGCUCAUUUUUAUUUACCUACUUAUAUAUGUAUAUCCUAUGUAUAUAUGGCUAACCUUUUUUUUUGGCGGUUGCACCUGGAUGUCACCAAUGUUCAAUAUUGUCAUCUUACGUUGCAAGUUUGGGGUGGGAAAGAGACUUGACCUUGCUCGGCAGUAUCACCGGACGAAGAGGAGGCCCGUAUGAUAACUCUUAGGGAUCCUUGCCAAUCUACAGAAACAACAUGCCUCGACAGAUCAAGGUAACCUAUUGUGUCUAUUUCAUGUCAUGUUACUUGAAGCCCACAAUCAAGCAACACAAUUUCAGAUGGAUAUGUCGUCAUGGCCUCGCACUAAUCUUCGACCAGACACAACUCUGUUUCCUUGUCUUGGAUCCAUCAUCGGCGACCAACAUUGCAUUGUCAUUCCCCUAGGGUUCCAUCCGAAUGCGACCGAGAUCAACGAGGCAAUGCUUCAUGUUGACGGACACGCCCAACGAUUCUUAGUGGUCUUGGUAGUGGCAGAUGGUGAACACAAACAACAAAGACAAGUGUUUCACCUGUGUUUACUCGUCGAGGACUAGCGUAUAUAUGGGGGUAAUGUCAUCUGAAAACCCAUUACGUCUGAGGUUCCGAACAUCCUUCCAGUGGAGUUUCCACGGAUCCUGUAGUGCUUGUUGGGGGUCCCUUCCACUGAUACGCCUCAAACAUAUCUAUCAUUAUUUAGAAUUAAAUCCUAUUAUGUUAUCAUUUUUAUAUACUUUUUACUGUAAUUUAUAUUGUUUUUAUGGACUAAUUUAUUAAUUUAGUGCCCAAUGCUAGUUCCUGUUUGCUGAUUGUUUUUGGUUUCACAGAAAAUCAAUAUCUACGGAGGUCAAAAAAGUAAAAGUGAUUUGUUUCAAAACUUUACUAAAGUUGAUUUGAUAAUGAAGUUUCUGUUAAAAGUUAAUGCUAUCAUAUUAUUCGCGAAUGGAGGGAGUACUUGUUUGUCUGGGUAUUAAGGUGGUGAUCGACAGGUGAUCCGUGUCCUUCAGAUUGUUUGUGUGUUGCUAUGGUGCAUCCUGCCACUGGUGAAUGUUGAAUGAAGUUCAGUACCAACCAUGCUUAAAAGUGGGCUGGUAACAUGAGUACAGACUUACUAGUUCUUGAGUUUCCAACAGUAGCUAUAGCAUGCAGAUUUUUUUGUUAGUCUGUAUAUCCAGGCGAAAGACCCGAACAAUUUAGUAUCUUGUUUGAAGACAAGUAUAGGGAAAAUUCUAAUAUUUUUUCUCUAUCCAGACCAAACCAAACUGAACUGGUUUCCAUCUCAAUCGACCAAACCAAUAGAAACCAAAUCAGAAGCCAAUCCAAAAACAAAGUUUCAUUCCAAACUAUUCCUAGGCUUUAAGUCCAGCUGGUAACUCGGAAUCACGUAUACAUAAGAUGGCCUCCACUGCCACUUUUACUUUCAGAGGUGUAGACAUAACAUUUGGAGCAUAUCAACCCUAGCCACGUCAGCAGUCUCGGGCACCCCACCGCCGUCCAUCUCCAUGGCCACGUGCUGUUGGAACUCGGACGUCGCCGUGCGCAGGAGCCCGGCACCAUCCUUGUUUUCCACCGUAAUCCCUGCAGCAUUCCUCAGAUACCUGUCCCGCAGGCCCCGAGCGUCGGCCGCAAGCGCGUGGGCCUGUGCGCGGUGUUGGUCGCACCACGCGGCCUGGCUUCGAAGCUCGGCCACCAGCUCCUCCUCGCCGGGCCUUGUGGCGAACACGUCGGCGCCGUGCCAGAGGUCCCCCCCGUCCUCCUCCAUCUCGCGGGCGAGCUACAGUUUUUUUUUUGAAAAUAAAUAUUCAUAUGGGCCUGCCGAUGGACAUGGCUUGUUAGCAAGUACUAGUACUAGUAACUUCCUCAUCCAUAACAUUACCCUCAGGAACAACAGGCAAUUCAUAAUUAGGAGGAGAACCUUCAUCAUCACUUUCAUCAAUAAUUUCAUUUUCAAUAAUUUCAUUCUCCCUAGCCCUAGUAAGUUGUUCAUCAAGAAAUUCACCUAAUGGCACAGUAGUAUCAAGCAUAGAAGUAGUUUCAUCAUAAUUCUCAUGCAUAGCAAAAGUGGCAUCAUCAAUAACAUGCGACAUAUCAGAAUUCAUAGCAGUAGCAGGUUUAGGCGUCGCGAACUUACUCAUAAUAGAAGGAUAAUCUAGUGCAGAGCUAGAUGGCAGUUCCUUACCUCCCCUCAAAGUUGAGGGAUAAAUUUUAGUUCUUUGAUCUUUCAAGUUUUUCAUAGUGAUCAGCAGAUAUAAAUUCCAAGUGACUCAGAGAAUAGAGCUAUGCUCCUCGGCAAUGGCGCCAGAAAUUAGUCUUGAUAACCCACAAGUGUAGGGGAUUGCAACAGCUUUCGAGGGUAGAGUAUUCAACCCAAAUUUAUUGAUUCGAUACAAGGGGAGCCAAAAAAUAUUCUUGAGUAUUAGCAGUUGAGUUGUCAAUUCAACCACACCUGCAUAACUUUAGUAUCUGCAGCAAGGUAUUUAGUAGCAAAGUAGUAUGAUAGUAAUGGUAACAACGGUAAAAGGUAAAGAUGGCAAAGGUAAUAUUUUUGGGUUUUGUAGUGAUUGUAACAAUAGCAACGGAAAAGUAAAUAAGCGAAGCACAGUAUAUGAAAAGCUCGUAGGCAAUGGAUCAGUGAUGCAUAAUUAUGUCGGAUGCGAUUCCUCAUGUAAUAGCUAUAACAUAGGGUGACACAGAACUAGCUCCAAUUCAUCAAUGUAAUGUAGGCAUGUAUUCCGAAUAUAGUCAUACGUGCUUAUGGAAAAGAACUUGCAUGACAUCUUUUGUCCUACCCUCCCGUGGCAACGGGGUCCUAGUGGAAACUAAGGGAUAUUAAGGCCUCCUUUGAAUAGAGAACCGGACCAAAGCAUUAACACAUGGUGAAUACAUGAACUCCUCAAACUACGGUCAUCACCGAGAAGUAUCUCGAUUAUUGUCACUUCGGGGUUGUCGGAUCAUAACACAUAAUAGGUGACUAUAGACUUGCAAGAUAGGAUCAAGAACACACAUAUAUUGAUUAAAACAUAAUAGGUUCAGAUCUGAAAUCAUGGCACUCGGGCCCUAGUGACAAGCAUUAAGCAUAGCAAAGUCAUAGCAACAUCAAUCUCAGAACAUAGUGGAUACUGGGGAUCAAACCCUAACAAAACUAACUUGAUUACAUGGUAAAUCUCAUCCAACCCAUCAUCGUCCAGCAAACCUACGAUGGAAUUACUCACACACAGCGGUGAGCAUCAUGAAAUUGGUGAUGGAGGAUGGUUGAUGAUGACGACGGCGACGAAUCGCCCUCUCCGGAGCUCCGAACGGACUCCAGAUCAGCCUCCCGAGAGAGAUGAGGGCUUGGGGCGGCUUCUUAUCGUAAAACGCGAUGAAAAUCCUCUCUGAUUUUUUUCUCCGCGAGACGGAAUAUAUGGAGUUGGAGUUGAGGUCGGCGGAGCUGCAGGGGCCCACGAGAUAGGGGGCACGCCCCCCACCCUCGUGGACAGGUUGUGGGCCCCCUGGUCUUCAUCUUUUGCGAGCAUUUUUUACAGUUUCUGAAACUUGUCUCCGAGGAUUUUCAGGUCAUUCCAGAAACUUUUGUUUUCUACACAUGAAACAACAUCAUGGUAAUUCUGCUGAAAACAGCGUCUUUCUGGGUUAGUUACAUUCAAAUCAUGCAAGUUAGAGUCCAAAACAAGAGCAAAAGUGCUUGAAAAAGUAGAUACGUUAGAGACGUAUCAGUAACCCCUUGUAUCAGCACUCCAGUCCAGGUAACUCGGAAUCACGUAUACAUAAGAUGGCCUCCACUGCCACUUUUACUUUCAGAGGUGUAGACAUAACAUUUGGAGCAUAUCAACCCUAGCCACGUCAGCGCCCUGCUCAUGUCAGACUGCAUGCUUGUGAGGUCGGCCUCCACCUGCGGAUCGACGAUGUUGUCGUGUACGAGGGACCUGAUAUCCUCGUCGGUGUAACGGGGCACCACCGCCUCCAUCAUGGUCGCCUCCAUCAAGAUCCUAGUAUUUCCUUCCUAGUUUCUCUGAUGAGGGAGUACAAGAUCGAUCUGCUAAGCUAGGGCCGGCCGUGGAGCUCAGUUUAGAUAGACGUACGCCCAGAGAUCCGAUUCCUACCGUGCGUGUGCGUGGGAGCCAAACGUAUCGCCGGACGUACUAGGUCCCAAACACAAAUCUUAUAGAGAAAAUUCUUUAUUUGACCCUUUCUUAAAAUAUGCUUUUUGGCCUUGUAAAAUUAUUUUUUCCCUUUUUGACACCUAAACUUCAUUGUGUUCCCUUAAUGACAUUUUCAUCAGUUUUGGCCACUAACACAAUCAGGUGCAAUCAAAAAAGUCGUUUUUACCCCUGCUUUAGUUCACAGGUAGAAUGAAGAAGAAACCCCAUGACCGAACUUCUCUUCCUAUUUCCCACCCUGGGUCGAUGCUGCUGCUGCUCAUGGCGAGGCGGAGGGUGACGGAUCGUCGACCUCGGCAUCCAUGGAACGGCGUGCCGCGUGUGCCCAUGCGCGUGUUCCAACACUGAUGGCCGGUCGUGGUCUUCUUUGUUGGUGUUAAAUACGAGUAUACGACAGUAGCAUCCGUGAACGUGUAUGUUGAUUACUUGUGCGUGAACGUGUCCGUGUAGGACUGGUGUCACUACACCACGGUAGCUAAAAGAAGGCAUAAGAGUUGUGCACGUGUGCAACGCCGGGCUACGUAGCUAGCUGUGCUAGCUUUGAUCGAUCAAGACGGAUCGAGCCAGCCGGGCUAGGUAGCUAGCUGUUCUAGCUGGCGAAGGCGUUGGUGCAUCUCGGCCACCAACAAGUCCGACUGCUGCGACGCCGGUGGUUGGCGGCCGUGGCGUUGGCAUAUGCGGCCGUGACUCUCGGGCUGAACGCGAGCGCCGCGAUCCGGCAACCUGCACAAGGCAUGCACCUGGUACGUACUUGGCGGACGGCAGUGCAUGUGGCAGGGAGUUGAUACCGGAACUGCACGCGGCAGCAGCCGCGUGCCAUGCGAAAGAGGAGGCAGAGGUAGUUGCCAGGACCGGACGACCAACAACAGCGACUGCCUCAUUCCGGGCGAGUGGUGUCCGGCUGCUCGUGGCCAGCAGCACACGCUCUCGUCGUCCUCGUUUGCGUGCCAUCUGCGUGGUGUAUAGCUGCCGGCGCGCGCGGUCUACUACUUGUUCGGAGGAUUUAUUAUGUAUACUGUAGUUUUAAACGUGUGUUAGUUAGAAGAUUUAGGAGUAUGUGCCGGAGUACUUUGAACGUGAUAAAUUAUACUUAUGAUAGAUAUGAUUAUGCAAGUUAAGCAGAUGUUUUCCGUCUUUUGUAUGUACGAAUCAGUUUAGCUAAGGAAAAUUUUUAUUGAAGUGCAUAUAUAUGCAAAACAUCAACGAACAUAUUUCAUAAAAUCAGUGGUUACUUUUUUCCUUAAAUAUCCUGGACAGUCACAUAGUGCACUAGGGGCAAAAUUGUCUUUUCAUCUCACACUUAUCAUUAUUAGUGACUAAAGGAGACGGAAAUGUCAUUGAGGGAACAAAAUAAAUUUUGAGUGUCAAACAGGGAAAAAUAUUUUAAAAUACAUGAUUAAUUUUUUUAUCUAUAAUCCAUUUUUCUUAAACAUGUUUAGCAUUUUCCAUAUACAAGUUUAACAUUUUUUUUAAUAUAUUGUCAACAUUUUUUAAACACAUUUUUAAUAUUUUUAAAGUGCUUGAUUGAUUUUUUUUCAAAUACAAGAUUAAGAUUUUUUGAAUACAUGGUUAACAUUUUUUCUAUACACAUGUUUCAAAUGCUUGAUUGAUAUUUUUAAAUACAAGAUUAACAUUUUUUUUGAAUACAUGAUCAGCAUUUUUUUCCAUACAUAUUUUUAUUUUUAAAUGGUUGACUAUUAUUUUUGAACUAAAAGAUUAACAUUUUUUGAAUAGUUGGUCAACAUUUUUGCUAGAGAUGGGCAUAAAAACGAGAACCGAAGAUCNNNNNNNNNNNNNNNNNNNNNNNNNNNNNNNNNNNNNNNNNNNNNNNNNNNNNNNNNNNNNNNNNNNNNNNNNNNNNNNNNNNNNNNNNNNNNNNNNNNNCAGGGGUCGCCCGAGUUGCUGCAUGCAAGGGGAGGGGGUGUCUUGGAGGGAUGAUCACGGUGGCAACAAGCAACCGCGAUGGGGGUGGUGGAGAGGAGGGCGAGACUUUGACCCUGUGAGUGGUAGGUGCUUAGUAUGGCACAUCACAUUUGGUGUAACAACUUCAUCAUCCCAUCGGACAUCUCACAAGUCAUUGAGAUUAUGAACAAGGAGGGUUCUCUGCUGCACCAGCUGCUGCAAUCUUUUAGGACUGCACCAUCAUUGCUAGUGGCUUCUCGAAGGUCAUCAAUGAACAUUGUCCAAGGGAAUCAAAUGGGGUAGCUCAUGAGCUUUCUAGGAGUUUUUUCUACUCUCAUGUCUCUACAAUAUAGGUUGAUGAUGGAGAGGGGAUUUUCUACCAUGCACACGACCUGCCAUGCAUGCAUCCAUCUUUUUCUUUUUCUUAAUUGUUAUAAGGGAACACUGACAUCAUGUAUAUUUAUCUCCCAUGUAACAUACAGUCACAUAUUAUUCUCUACUUGUUUAGUUUCAUUCAGAUAAAUAGAUGUCUAAUAUAUUUUGAAAUAAAAGUUUGAUUUACAUUACGUUUGUACAGUUGUGUUUUUUUCUAACAAGACCUUUAAAACAAGACUGAUAUUCAAUAUAGUUUUAGAAAUUGUUACUUUGACAACUAAAUCGCCAUGCAUUAAACAUGUUUCAUCCAAAUUUGUUAAUUCCAUGGAAAAAAUUCAAUAAUAUUUUACUUUCUUUCACAAAAAAAUCUUAUUAUUUCACUAUGGCUCGCCACGUUGUGUCAUCAUAAACACAAAUAUGCAAACAAAUUAUAAAUUGGACUAUUGAUUCAAAAAACAAACUAGAUUUAAACCUAGGAAUAAGAAUAAGAUGAAAAAGUAUGGCAUGGUGGAGCAUACGCUGCAUAGCUGGCUUGCAUGUGGUGAAAGAAACAGCUGACCAACUAUGAGCAGUACCUUAUGCAUGGCUCCGAAUCUCAAAGCAAAUCAAGGGCUCCCUCAUGCACGGGGCAGGGAGAAUUGCUUUUCUCGUUUAUGAUCCCCUAUAGUUUUACAAUGCCUUUUAUGACAAAUAAUGUACGUGCGUAACUAUUUUUUAGAAGUAAUAAAUUUAGCCGCAAGGCAUUCCGUCAAAAGCAAAAUCAGUGGUGGAGGAUGCUAAGUAGCCAGUUAGAUUGCUGGCAGUAUAGGUCGACGUCGAUCUAGCCUGUGGCACAAUCAAUCAAUUAAUCAACCAAUUGUUUUUUUUUCGAGGAUCAAUGAUUUUUAUUUCUUCAAUAGGCAGCUAUAACAAGAUCUUGAACAAAAUCUGGAGCUCUAUGCAACCAACCAGGGGUGCUUCGAGCUGUCCGUGCAUAAUUUGCAAGACAAUGAGCUACCCUAUUUUGCGACCUAGCAAUCUUACACUGUUUGAACUACCGCUCUUCUAUAGAAUGUUUGAUUUUCUUGGCUAGGUUACCAACAGCAGAUUUUGUGAGUGAAGCAUCCGCCAUCGACGGGAGGGUGCCCAAGGAAUCUGAUCGUACUAUGACAAGGAAACUAGACCACUGAAUGGCUAGUGACAUUCCUAUCUUAAUUGCUUGUAUUUCAGCCUCCAGUGCAUUGUUGCAGUAAAAUAGAACCUGACAAGGUGCAAAAGUUACAUCCCUUUUCAUCUCUCAAGAUCAUGCUUGCACCUGCUGAUCCUGUGAUCCAUCUGAUCAACCAAUUGUUGUUAAUGCAGCAACGACGUAUGUUUUCUUGUCCACUACAUACAGGUGCGAGUAGUGUGUGUGUGUCUAUAUAAAAAAAAAGGGCAACCUGGUGUGCAUGUAGCUCCCGCUUGCGCAGGGUCCAGGGAAGGGUCCGACCACUUUGGGUCUAUAGUACGCAGCCUUUCCCUACAUUUCUGUAAGAGGCUGUUUCCAGGACUUGAACCCAUGACCUCAUGGUCACAAGGCAGCAGCUUUACCACUGCGCCAAGGCUCCCCUUCUGUGUCUAUAUAUAUAUAUAUAUAUAUAUAGUUACUAUUCAUCAUCCGGGGUGCAGAAUAAGUAUUUCUUCACCCGAGGUAAUUUUACGAUCAUUUCAUAAUUAAAUUACAUUUAGAAUUCAAAUAGUUACAUUCCUAUUGAUUCACUACGUAAAAUUUGACAUAAAAAAACAAAAAUAUAGGUCAUAAGACAAGAAAAUUUGUAGUUUAUGUGUAUUUUAGACUAUGUUUUUAUGUUUGUAGUUUUACAUAACAUAAAAUAUUUUUUACGGCGAUUAUAUAUUUUCUUACGGUCUCUUUUUACGUCGGAAAUAAGACAAAAAUUACGGAACGUAAAAUUAUGGUGCAUUGAUGGUAAAAUAGAGGGGGGGGGGUGAAGAAUAACUAUUCCUCAACCAGGAUGACGAAUAGCGCGACCCUAUAUAUACUAUUCAUCAUCCAAGGUGCAGAAUAAGUUAUUCUUCACCCGAGGUAAUAUUACGAUCAUUUCAUAAUUAAAUUACGUUUGGAAUUCAAAUAGUUACAUUCCUAUCGAUUCACGACGUAAAAUUUGACAUAAGAAAAUAAAAAUAUAGGUCAUAAGACAAGAAAAAUUACAGUUUAUGUGUAUUUUACACUAUGUUUUUACAUUUAUAAUUUUACAUAACAUAAAAUAUUUUUUUCGAUGAUUGUAUAUUUUCUUACGGUCUCUUUUUACUUCGGAAAUAAAGCAAAAUUUACAGAACGUAAAAUUACGGUCCAUUGAUGGUAAAAUAGAGGGGGUGAAGAAUAACUAUUCCUCACCGAGGGUGAUGAAUAGUCAAUCCCUAUAUAUAUAUAAGAAAAUGCGUGCGAGGACUGAGAAGUAUGUAGAGUAGUCGCCUCAGCUGGCUGCAUGCAUUGCUCUGUCUUGGCGGACGCAGCUUCGAUGCCUUAAAGGCACCUGUCUUUGGGUCACUGACAUGUGGGCUAGCCACCUGUUGGGCCCACAUGUCAUAGACAUAAAGGUAGGAAGGCACUGAAGCAUCAUCCGUCUUGACUGUAUGGUGGUUGGUUCCUCUGCCGUCAUCGCCGAAUCAAUUCAUGCCAUGUCCUGCCCUCCAUUGCAUUUUGCAUCAUGCAUCGGUCGAUGGAGUUGACACGUCGCUCUCUCACCCCCCGCUGCUUGGAUCCUUCGUGACAUGUAGUCAUGCGCUGGUCCAGAUGCAGGCCAGACCAACCGCUAAGUACGUACUAUACCAGCUAGCUAGGCUAGCUAUAAGGGUGCCAGCACGCAUAAUGGAGCCAAGCUAGCUAAUCAAUGGCCAUCGUCGUCGUUCGUCAGCUGGUGUGUGUGUUUAUCAUUUUUUUUAAACUAGCAGCAGCUGAGAAGUCAUUUGAUGUAUAAUAUAUCAACGGACUUUAUAUUUAACCAACAACCUUAAUCUUCUGUGGAUCAUGUCCCUCUCCUAACUAAUCUUCUGUAUAAAUCUGAUACGUGCCGAUCAAUUGAGAAUUUAUUGCUACUUAUUGACUUAACGAAAAUGUUUGACCAGCAUCAGAUUUUACCAUAAGAAAUAAUUUGCUUAUGGACCGUGAAUUUAUUGCUAUAUACCAUAGAUUGAUUUGGUAUAUUGGCUUACCAAAAAAUUGUUUGUUGACAGACAGAAGAGGAUGGAGAACAGAAGUCAGUGGAGAGUGGAAGGUUUGAUAUGAAUGGGUGGUGGGAAGAAAAGUGGAACAUGGAAUCUUGUGUUCUUUUUGAGUAAAUAAGAUAUAUCCACCGAAAUGAUAAAAAUGCAAUAUUAUCUUAUUAUCCGACCUUGUUUGUGAUUCAUUUGUUCAAAUCAAAACGAAUGCUUAGUUAUGAAAACUCUGCCCGUCUCCUUUCCCCAACCCCUAGCCGCUACACAGGGCAUCUUCCACACUGCCGCCUCGUAUCAUCUCUCUCCCCCAAAUGGACAGAGGAACAAGUAUUUGUCCCUCUGUUAAUUUUAGUUUUUAGUAGCUCUCCAUUUCCCUUAGGUUUAGGUUCUCUAUCGGCAUAGCCUAGGUGGUGGCUUUGAUGGUGCAUUUGAAUAAGGGAUAAGUAUAUUUUCAGUCCCUCAAUUCUCUUGAAAGUGUAGAAAUGGUCCUUCAACUCUAAAACCAGCAAUCAUUGGUACCCCAACUUUUUAAACCGGAUAUCUUUAGUCCUUCAUACCGCUUUUGUUGAUGACGUGGCAUGGUUUUGCCUGAUUUGACUGGUUUGGUUCAUGAUGUGGAGGCGGCCGUCGCCUGGCCCUGAAAGCCAUGCUCGCGAGCACCGGUCUGUUGCUCCCCUGGCCGUGCUCCCUUUGAGCACGCCGAGCAGUCACUCUGUGCAUUUUAAAACCGAACCGAAAAACCAUACCGAAAAUAAACCGAACCGAACCGAUUUUUUUGUUUUUAUGGUUUCUGGUUUCGGUAUGGUAUGAACUUUUCAUACCGAUUUGAACUUUGGUUUUUAUGGUAUAUACCGAAAAACCGAAUGGUUAACCGAAUAAACCGAAGUAAAAGAUAAAUUUAUAUUUCUUGAGAUGAACAACCGUACAAGUUGUCAUUUUUCUUGUACAUGAGUCAAAUUCACUACUAAGCACCUACAUUUUUCUUGUAACAUUGUCAUUUUUCUCUUUUUAAAAUGCUAAGCACGUCCAUAACCAUCAACAGAUGAAUCAAUGCAUGCAUAUAUACUUAUAUAUAUAGUCAUAUACUAUUUGUGUAAAAUAGAAUGUGUUUUGAGUCAUAAAUUUGUAAAUUAUUAUUACGUCAUUUUCAAAUUCGCGUCAACUUUGGUUUUUAUGGUAUAUACCGAAACCAUACCGAAAUAAUUUGGUAUAUACCGAAACCGAACUGUAUUUUAAUUUCAUACCGUAUUUACCGAAGUAUUAAUACCGUACAUACCAAAAAAACCGUAUAAACCGAAUCAUGUAAACCGAAUAAACCGAACGCACAGGGCUACCGAGCAGCCACACCCGGCUGGCCAUAGACGUUGACCCGUUGUGCCUCAAUUAUCAUCCCAAGUCUGCCCAAUCCGUGCUAGUUGGAGCUGCACUCGGCCGUCCAAUGGUCACCCUGUCUGCUAUGCUAACACUUGCGGUGCUAGCUGCACACUGAUACUUCUUGCUGCGUGCGUCGCCCAAACACCGUCAGCUGCGAGGCUUCUCACCAUGUGAGCCAUCGCGUCCUCGCAGCCGUACCUAGCACUCCUCAAGCCCCACUGCAAGACUUCGCGGUGAGCCACCGCGUUGUGUGCCUGACGGCAGGAGGAAGGCCGCAAGCUCGAGUAGUACGACGGGCGCGCCCACUGUGAUGGUGUAGUGACCGUUGGCAUGGCAAAGUGGAGGAGGGCAGCGGUGGCUCUUGUUCCGGAGCCGCGUCGUCGCCGCUGGCGGCUGGCCGCAUGCACAGCUCCGCCUCAGCCCUGUAGGGAUCACUGUAUUUCAUCUCCCCGGCCCAGCAACCGGCCAGCUCCUCCCACCUAUCCAUGCAUGUCUCUCUAACCUGCUCGCUCCCAGCUCUGUUCCGCCUAGACGAGGAGAAUGAACGGACUAAGCGUCACGCUGGAAUGUCGCGGUAGAUCGCCGCCGCGUCACCGCCCCAUGCAGGUGCCGGAGGCCCCUGGUGGCGCCAUGCACGAUCUUGACGAGAAGCCGCUCUUGGUCCUGGGAGGCUGGGAGCAAUAGCAAACGAGGGAGACAAGGUUGGGGUGCCGGCCACGACGUCCAGGUUCGUCCGGUGGUGCCGGUGGUGUGCUCCUUGCCGGUGUGGCGUAGCCGGACAUGAUGAGGUAGUGCCGGUGGCAGAAGCGCAGAGGCGCACACGAGCUGCUCGAUCAACUGCCCAUGAAAGAGAGAGAUAUGUGAGGAAAAAGAUAUAGCAAAAGCAGGAGAGAGGAAUUUGCCACAUCAGCGAAGACUGGUCAAAACCGGGCUGAGUCAGCAACAUACCGGGUCAGCUGAGGCGAAGGACUAAACUUGUCUGGUUUGAAGAGUUGGGGGACUAAGUUUUGCCGGUUUUUGAGUUGAAGGAUCAAAUCUAGACUUCCGAAAGAAUAGAGGGACAAAAAAUAUACUUUUCCCUUUGAAUAAUGUCUCUCCUGUCCCUCCGUACUUCGAUGAUGUUCGAUCUGGCAUCAACGAAGGGUUGAAACUCCAGGUCUCUGUAUUAUUUUGGUGUGCACAACUAUUUUUAUUAGUAUUCAUGGUAGCCAACAAAACAAAAGUCAUCAACAAAUUUGGUAGAGCCAUUGCAACAUAUGAAUUUAACACAUACAACCUAGUAGUCAUCUUCUUUCGUUCUGAUGGUUUAAAGAAGGAAUAAACACCCUCACAUUAUCCUUGCCACAUCUGGUAGGAUACGUCUAAGACAAGGAUUUUCAUCAUGGUUACCGAGACCGACCACUAAAGGCAAGCUCUUCAGCAACUUGACAACGCCUUCUACUAGGUAAAGACACAAGUUCGUUGAUGUUGAGCCCUACCAAUAAAGGAAAAGAAAGAUUUUCCAUACGUAGAAAUGAAGUGCUGCUAAGAAUUUUUAUACAAAACUUAGAGAUAUUGUCGUGGAUAUAUCAACUAACUUCCUUUGGGAGAUUAAGAUUCUAUGCGGAUCAAAAUUGUCUUGCGACUACUAGUUUAGCAUAGUACAAUGUGGUUGUAUGCUUCAGCGAGGGGGCGCUGUGAAAAUAAGUGUCCGCCUUGUUGGUGCAAUGAAACCAUACAACAAUUUUUUUUAUGUGCUUGUCCACUUGCAAGAUGCCGUCGGACUAUUGUUGGCUAUAAUUCCGGUAUUCCUUGUAACUAGCAUAGUGACCCAGGCAGUGUGUAGAUUGUUUAUUUUUGGUAAACAGACGUCCAAUAGUAGUUGUGUUGUUUGAGGAAACCUUACUUUUACUUGUGAACAUAAACCUUAGGCUCUCUGGGACAAUUGUCAAAAAUCAUUUAGCGUAAUACCAAAAUUAUUUAUUCCAUUAGUAACCUAUUAUGUGUAUUUUGAUUAAAUAUUGUUAGGUGUUAUUCAAACGCCCUUUGUUAUUUGUUACUUCCCUCAUCUUUCCCAUCCAAGGGUCACCUCUCCUCUAUGUGAUGGCACCCUAGGCCUUGCUUAGAAAAUAGAAGACAUGAAAAAGGUGUAUACUACUUUCAAAUAGAUAGAUAGAUAGAGUGCGCAUAGCGACAUGACGAGGACAUGACCAAGCCAAAGCCAACGGCCGCUACUAGCACGUCCAACCAAGAGACGAGACUUUGCUGCCAAUUAUUCCUCUGGCCCAUGGGCCUGCUUCUUCUUUCUCUUCUACUAUUCUGCCAAUGCAUACCAACCAACCCCUCCUAAAUAAUCAGUAUUAUAAAUAUGAAAACACUCUUAGGAGUGUGAUUAGCAUAAUUCAUGUGUGGCUAGAUAACUGAGACUCAUAUUACUAAAGGCAACAAAUGAAAGGUAGCGUUAAGGGCCAACAUAUGUGAUUUAGAGAGGAAAAUGGUACGAAAGAUUAAGGUUGUUGAUAAGUAAUAUAUACUAUACCUCAUAUUCUAUAUUGUUAGGUAGGUUGCGAAAAGUGCCUGGCAUCGUAGGAGCCGGUUGAGCCAAAACUCAAUACGUCGGUGCUAUAUAUUAUCAACGUCGUCUUUUGUCGUUCACUGCUCAUGGAAGUAUUGGUCGAUUCAAUUAAUCAUAUUUUUAAUAUGAUUUAUUAUGACUAAGGUUAUAUUCAGUUUUCCUUUUAGUUUAAGCUACCUUUGUGUUUGGACAAUUAAUUUUAUUGAGCUUGGGUCACAUGUCCUAAUAACAAUUGAUAUGAUGUGUUCUGUUUGUCAUCUGCCCCCCUAGUUAUCAAAUGCGGAUUUUCCAUGGAAUUCUUGCUUCAUUUCUCCGAAUGAUAAUGACAAUAACAUGUUGAGACCAUGCAUGUUAGAGCAUCUCCAACAGACGCGCGGAUGUGCGACGUACUAAUUUUUUUUUGCAGUGCCAAAAAAGUGUUUUAGCGUGUCGGGCUAGUGUUUUGCUUUAGCAGAAGCGCUAUAUAUUGCACGCCACAGGUAGCACUUCAGUAGGCGCGCUAAAUUACAGCGUGCGCCCCCAGCACAAACAACAUUUCACACUCAACAUAGAACCAAGAAGAUCAAACACACACAAAAUAAAUCAACAAUAAAUAUUUAAAUUAUUAUUACAACUCAAACAAAUAGUUUAUCUUCAAUAGAAUAAAUAGUUCAUGAACAAUGCAACAAAUAGUCAAAAUACAACAAACAUAGAACAUCAAACUAGUUUUGUCGCCCAUUACAUGACCACCACUCCUCAACUCGAUCCUUCUGAAGGUCAUCAUGUGUUUCGGCACAUCGAAUCGCAUGAUAGGAGGCGACAAAGCGGCUCACCCUCGUAGCCCUCCUCCGCACUCGUACGGGAUGUCCCAUCAACUCAUACUGGGAAUAGUCUAAAUCUUGCCCAUGCUUGUUCUCAAUGAUCAUGUUAUGCCUGAUCACACAAGCGUUCAUGAUGUACCAAAGGAUCGUUUGAUCCCAAAAUCAAGCCAGACCUCUCACAAUAGCAAAUUGAGAUUGCAAAAUCCCAAAAGCUCUCUCCACAUAUUUCCUAGCCGCUGCCUGAGCAUUGUGGAAAUCAAGAUUUUUCUUACCUUUCGAUGCCGUCAACGGCUUCACAAAUGUUUGUCACCUUGGGUAGAUGUCACCUGCAAGAUAGUAGUCAUAGUUGUAUGUAUGGCCAUUUGCGACAAACUCCACCAGUGGAGUUUCACCAUUUGCAGUCCUAUUCAUUUGUGGUGACCGUUGAAGAACAUUGAUGUCACUGCAAGAUCCAGGCAUUCCGAAAAAGCAUGACAAAUCCAAGUCUGAUGAUCGGUCACCGCUUCAACAAUUAUAGUGAAACCCUUUUUCUUGCAGUGGAAUUGUCCAUGCCAUGCCUUAGGAUAGUUCUUCCAACUCCAAUGCAUGUAAUCUAUUGAGCCAAGCAUACCUAGGAACCUGCGAGUUUGUUCAUCUCCAAAAGCCUUGCGUUGUCUUCAACAUUGGGAGCUCUCAAAUAUUCCGACCCAAACACUUGCACAAUUCCAACUGCAAAGCGCUUGACACACAUGAUGACUUGACACUCACGCAUGGCCAAUUGGUCCUCAACUAGAUCUGCCAGAAUACCGUAUGCCAACAUACGCAAAGCGGCGGUCACCUUUUGAAAGGUGCUAUGCCCUGGUUCUUCGACGACAUUCCUCCUUUGCUGAAAAAACCGAUCAUGGCUCGCCAGUUUCCCCGCAAUGUGUUUGAACAACUCGAUGCUCAUCCUAAAACGGAGCCAAAAGUAGGACUCGAGGUAUGUGGGAUUCUCUACAAAAUAGUUCAUCAUCAAUCUGUUGUGGGCAUCGAUCCUUUCCCUCCAAGAUUCUGACGACCGAAAAUCAAACACCGUACUUUGGCUUUUUAUUGACGUUCAUAGCUAGGAUCAUUGCGGUGUCCUCCUCCUCUUGAAGAUUAGCGCGGCUUAUCUAGUGCAUCUUUUGGAGAUGCUCUUAUACACAUGAUCACAUGCUAUAUCCAACCACCAAAAAUAUAUAUUGAUAUAGAGAUUAUGACGAUAUGUAUGUAGGUGCUCCAUUAUUCAUACUUGAUAUAUAGUAUGGCUAAUUGACGCCGCCCAAUCCCAAAAGAUAGGAUAAAAUACAAGCUAAUAAUAAUAAUUCCAAAAAAUAACCAUACCAUGCAUGUGUAAACUCUCCAAGCAUCGACUUGCCAAUAAAGAUUGAUCACAGUCCUAUCGCAACGAGAAUCUGCGAUUGGACACCAUUUAGGAUUGGCAAGAUCGAGUGACACAAAAGUCAUCUGUUCUCUUCCCGACUCACCAAACCACCCAUUUAUAAAAAUAGAAGCAGUUCCUUUUGGACAACUAUAGUUUGCAUAAUUUUAAAAACACAAGUUUAACCUUGCAAAAAAAAAUAUAUCAUAUAUAUCGAGUCCUUUGUAAACGCUAGACAUUAUUUAGUUACACCACAAGAAAAACACAAUGUUAUUUUUUUCUAGAGAUUCUGUGCAUGACAUACUAGAAAUCGCGGAGGGUUGAUCAUGCUUGCUGUGUGAUUCACUGAUUCGGUGUAUAACAUAGUUGCCAUAGUAACGAAGAACUUUCCAUGAGAUUAGAUUUGAUAAAUUGUUUUGUCUAUUAUUUCCAGGACCCAAUACCAACCCUCCUAAAUUUUAAAUACCAAAAUAGUGGUGUGAGUACCUCAAUUCAUGGAUAGCUACAUAAUUAAAUAUGUAUUCAUGUAACUACUAUUUUAUCUUUUUGCAUUAAUUCAUAUAACUAUUAGAAGGAUGCGCGGGUAACUGCAAUUUUAACAAGAAAUCAAGACGGCCGAGGAGUAUUUAAAAAGAAGAAGAAGGUGUGUCUGGUAUCGUAGGUGUCGGUUGAGCAUUGCUAACACUUAAUUUCUUGGUGCCACUCCAUACAUUAUCAGUGCCGUCUUAAGUCCUUCGCUGCUCAUGGCAGUAGUUCGACGUUAAUUAACCAACCUUUCUCUUAUUUUAUUAUGAUCAAUAUAUUAUAUGAUUUUUCUUUUAGUUUUUGAGUUUGGAAGAUUAUUUGUAUUGAGAUUGGGGCCACAUCUCCUAAUAAUUAUUGAUAUGAUGUGCUACAUUUGACAUCCGACCCCUAGUUAUCACCAUCCCAUUUUCUAUAGAAUUAUUGGUUCAUUUCUCCCCAUGAUAAUAAUAAUAAUAGGUAGAGACCAUGCAUGCUAUAAGUAUGAUAGCACGGUAUGCCCACCUACCAAGCGGACAUAUGGAUAUGUACGUGCCCCAUUAUUGUUAUUUUCAUAUGCUCCAUGAUUGAUUAUUGAUACAAUGGCUAAUUGACGUCACCCAUCCCAGAAGAUAGGAUAUAAAUCUAGCUAAUAGGAGUAACUAUAAACAUCACCAAAUCAUGCACAAACUUCCCAACAAAGAUCAUAGUUAUCGCACCAAGAAUUUGCAAUCAGACUCAGUUUAGGAAUGGCGAAACCGAGUGACGCAAAAGUCAUCUUUUCUCUUCUCAACUCACCAAAUCAACCAUUUCUAAAGAAGAAACCAGCUACUUUAGGACACCCAUAGUUUGGAUGAUUUUAAUUAAAAACACAAGAAUACACAUUUUUUGGAAUGUUAUGGCAUAUAUAUCCAGUCUUACGUUUUAUCUUGAGAGAUCCAGCCUUACGUAAAAGCUAGAUGUUAUUCAGAGACGGCGGGAGAGUGAUAGGGGAGGCGGCAUGGGCAGCAGGGUGUGCUGGGGAUUUACCGACAGCGACAAGGGUGACGGAGGCGCGAGCUCUUCCCUAUUUAUAAUAAGAUUUGCGUCUCCUAGACCAUAUUUACGGGCAACGAAAAAUUAUUUUGGGGGGAUUUAAACGUUGUCAAGAUGCGGUAGAUGGCGUUUAAUUCCUCAAAAUUAAAAGUUUAGCCCUCAUAUUUAACUUUUGGGAUGGCUAGAGAUGUCCUAAGGUGGUAAUCUAGUGUUACAAUCAUCAUAGUGACCUGUUAUGCAGCUAUGAUUCCCUAAUUAACGAUGUGAGCUUGGUUAUUGAUCAAUGAAGUGAAGUGUGUUCCCCUAAAAAAAGCUAUGCAGCUAUUUUACAUAUGGAUACAAAGUGCUGUUCAUUUAGAACUACAAAUGGAUGAAUAGCGCGUGCAAAAGAUAUAGGGACAAUUAUAUUUGAGCCCCUAGUUGUGUCACACCCGUGUGUUUUGCCCCUAAAUUCAAAAAACCCUCAUUUCUAUCCAAGCUCGUUUACUCCUCUUAUGUUUUUGCCCUUUGACCGUUUGACUGCAACUUUGUAAACUUCAUAACGAAUUAAUACUAACUCAGAAAAAUGCAAAUAAGAUAUCAAAAUGAUCGGAAAAACAUCACCUAUAUGUGCAUGCCAUUUGCAUUCAUGACAAAAGUACUGAAAAGUCCCUAUCUCAGUUUGAGCUCAUAUGAUGUCUUUUGUCAUGAAUGCCCUUUUUGUCAUGAAUGCAAAUGACAUGCACAUAUAGAUGAUGUUUUUCCGGACAUUUUGAUAUCUUAUAUGCAUUUUUCUGAGUUAGUAUGAAUUCGUUAUGAAGUUUUUAAAGUUACGGUCAAACGGUCAAAAGGCAAAAACAUAAGAAGAGCAAACGAGCUCGGACAGAAACGAGGAUUUUUUGAAUUUAGGGACAAAACACACGGGUGUGACACAACUAGGGGCUCAAAUGUAAUUGUCCCAAAGAUAUAUGGUGACGGCAACCAAAGCAACCAAUAAACCCCGCCGACGAUCGUCGACAUUGGUCUGACCCGUGGGCCCAUCUUACAUACCACCGCCCAGGCCAAAAGAAAAUAAAAUAACAACCAACCCCUCAAGAUUAUCGGUAUUAUAAAUAGUGGGACACUAUUACGAGACACGCGCCCGUCUUCUUCGCUUCUUUCCCAAAACAGAGCACCUACCAACCGAGCCAGAGCGCAGCAGAGCACAUCCAUGGCCGGCCGCCGCACUGAACCCCGGCCGUCCUACACCGCCUAGCCAGCCAUCCACAGUAGUGCCCGAUCGCCGCCACCAUGAAGCUUGCCGUGGAGGUCGCGGACGCGGCGGAGCUGUCCGCCAAGGACGGCGCGGCCGGCUGCAACGCGUUCGUGGAGGUGGAGUUCGACGGGCAGCGCCAGCGCACGGCCACCCGGCCCGGCGACCUCUCCCCGCAGUGGAACGAGACGCUCGUCUUCGACGUCCGCGACCCGGCCCGCCUCGCCGCCCUCACCGUCGACGUGUCUGUCCAGCACGACCGCAGCCUCAACGACCACAACGCGCUCCGCCCCCACGUCUUCCUCGGCCGCGUCCGCGUCUCUGGCGAGUCCGUCGCUCGCUCGCCCGACGAGGCCUUCCUGCAGCGCUUCCCGCUGGAUAAAAGAGGGCUCUUCUCCCGCGUCUCCGGGGACAUCGCGCUCCGGCUCUACCUCGUCCCCGACGGGCGGGACGGCGAUCGCGUCGCGCAGGACCAUGCUGCUGCUGCUCCGGCCAUGGACACGGGCGGUGGUCAGCAGCAGAACCAGCAGCAGCCUUCCCAGUCCGCCGCCGCCAGCUUGGACCCCGAGAGGAUGGUCCGGAACGUCUUCUCUGGCGAGGCGCCCGCAGGAGCCGCAGCUGCCUCUGCCUCGGGAGGGCCGGCGGCAGAGACCAAGGGGAAGAGCGGCCACGACACACGCGAGUUCCGCUCCAUUCCGGCCUCGUCAGGUGGUGGUGGCAACGAGCCUCGGCGCCACACGCUCCACGCCAUGGCGGCGCCGCCCCCGCCAGCGGGGCAGACGGUGGUCGUGCCGAAGCCCGCCGGGCCUGCCCAGGCAGCGCCCCCGGGCUCGCAGUACGGCCUCACCGAGACGAAGCCCCCGCUGCCGGCCAAGAUGGGGCCGCGCUCUGGGACGGCCAAGAUCGCGUCCACCUACGACAUGGUGGAGCCGAUGUCGUACCUCUACGUGACUGUGGUGAAGGCGCGCGACCUGCCCUCCAUGGACCUCACCGGCGCGCUGGACCCGUACGUGGAGGUGAAGCUGGGCAACUUCAAGGGCGUCACGCGGCACCUGGAGAAGAACCAGAACCCGGUGUGGCGGCAGACGUUCGCCUUCUCCGGCGCCCACCUGCAGGCCAGCCAGCUCGAGGUCAUCGUCAUGGACAAGGACACGCUCCGCGACGACUUCGUCGGCCGCGUCGUCUUCGACAUGUCCGACAUCCCCAGCCGCCUGCCGCCCGACAGCCCGCUCGCGCCGCAGUGGUACAGCCUCGCCGACGCCCACGGCGAGCGGUUCCGGCACGGCCACCCCCUCGGCGAGAUCAUGCUCGCCGUCUGGAUCGGCACGCAGGCCGACGAGGCGUUCCCGGAGGCGUGGCACUCGGACGCGCACUCGCUCUCGCGGGAGGGGCUCACCAACACGCGCUCCAAGGUGUAUUACUCGCCCAAGCUCAUCUACCUCAAGGUCUCCGUCAUCGCGGCGCAGGACCUGAUCGCCGCCGACAAGGGCCGGUCGCUGGCGCCGACCAUCGCCAAGAUACAGAUGGGCAGCCAGAUCAGGCGGACGCGGCCGGGGCAGCCGCAGGGGUCGGCGAACCAGGCGUGGAACGAGGAGUUCAUGUUCGUGGCCAGCGAGCCGUUCGAGGACCCGCUGGUGGUGACCGUGGAGGAGAAGGUCGCCGCCGGGCGCGACGAGCCCAUCGGCCGCAUCAUCAUCCCCGUGGCGUCGCCGUACGUGCCGCGCAACGACCUUGCCAAGUCUAUACCAUCCAAGUGGUUCAACCUGUCGCGCGGCAUGACGGUGGACGAGGCGGCGGCGGAGGCGACGACGGGGACCAAGCACCGGGAGCACUCCAAGACCUUCGCCAGCAAGAUCCACCUCAGGAUGAGCCUGGAGACGGCGUACCACGUGCUGGACGAGUCCACGCACUACAGCAGCGACCUGCAGCCGGCGGCGAAGAAGCUGCGGAAGAGCGCCAUCGGCGUGCUGGAGGUGGGCAUCCUCAGCGCGCGCGGCCUCGGCGGCAACAAGAGCGCCUACUGCGUGGCCAAGUACGGGUCCAAGUGGGUGCGCACGCGCACGCUGCUGGGCACGGCCGCGCCGGCGUGGAACGAGCAGUACACCUGGGAGGUGUUCGACCUGAGCACCGUCAUCACCGUCGCCGUGUUCGACAACAACCACCUCCACCAUAGCGACGGAAAGGACCAGAGGAUCGGCAAGGUGCGCGUCAGGCUCGCCACCCUCGAGUCCGACCGCGUGUACACGCACUACUACCCGCUCAUGGCGCUGACCCCCGGCGGGCUGAAGAAGACCGGUGAGCUCCACCUGGCCGUCCGGUUCACGUGCACGGCGUGGGCCAACAUGCUGGCGCAGUACGGGCGGCCGCUGCUGCCCAAGAUGCACUACAGCAACCCCAUCUCCGUGCUCCAGCUGGACUACCUCCGGUUCCAGGCGAUGCAGAUGGUGGCGACGCGGCUGGGGCGGUCGGAGCCGCCGCUGCACCGGGAGGUGGUGGAGUACAUGCUGGACGUGGACUCGCACAUGUUCAGCCUGCGGCGGAGCAAGGCCAACUUCUACCGCAUCACGUCGCUCUUCUCCGGCGUGGUCGCGGUCGGCAAGUGGUUCGACGGCAUCUGCAAGUGGAAGAACCCGCUGACGACCAUACUGGUGCACGUUCUGUUUCUGAUACUGGUGUGCUACCCGGAGCUGAUCCUGCCGACGGUGUUCCUGUACCUGUUCAUGAUCGGGGUGUGGAACUACCGGCGGCGGCCGCGGAAGCCGCCGCACAUGGACACGGUGCUGUCGCACGCGGAGCAGGCGCACCCGGACGAGCUGGACGAGGAGUUCGACACGUUCCCGACGUCCAAGCCGUCGGACGUGGUGCGGAUGCGGUACGACCGGCUGCGCAGCGUGGCCGGCCGGGUGCAGACGGUGGUGGGCGACCUGGCCAUGCAGGGGGAGCGCGCGCAGUCGCUGCUCAGCUGGCGCGACCCCAGAGCCACGGCCAUCUUCAUCACGCUCUCCCUCAUCGUCGCGGUCGUGCUCUACAUCACGCCGUUCCAGGUGGUGGCCGUGGUCUUGGGGCUCUUCAUGCUCCGCCACCCCCGCUUCCGGAGCAAGCAGCCGUCCGUGCCAUUCAACUUCUACAAGCGCCUCCCCGCCAAGGGUGACAUGCUCCUAUGAUCUCCUCUUCUCUUCUCUUCUCUUCUCUUGUUUUUUUGCAUAGGGUUAUCUAAAUUAAUUACAGUACAUAUAUAUUCACUACUACUACUACUACUACACUACACUACACUACACAAUCGAUCACUUUUGUCUGUGUGAUCAGAGAAUCUUGAAAAAUAAGAAAGCUUGGAAUGGAGUGGAUAGAUACUCUCAACAUUCGGAAGCUUCGUCUCCAUCAAUAAUUAAAAGGGAGAGAACAAAGCGGCAGAUGCGGCAUUGCUUUCAUCCAACAUAUUUUUUGUUCCACUACAUUCCAUACCGUGCUUUUGUCGGUGCGGUGUGCAUAUUUUUUUUGUUUCACUUUUGUCUGUGUCUACACCAGUUAGUCAGACACCAUGGGCGGUGUCCAUCUUCAUCAUCAUCAUCAUCAUCAUCAUCUUCUUCUUCUUCUUCUUCUUCUUCUUUGGAUACGUGUAGCGUGCGGAAUAAAGUUGGUCGACAAAGCUAACGGGAAUAAAUAAAGCCUCACUGUGCUAGCAGUGUAUUCCAUGUUCGACGACUGUUGUUUCAUUCAUAUUCAUAUUCCAUUAUUUUAUUCAGAAUGCAGCAUCAAGGUGGAGUAUAUACGAGUAGCAUUCUAAAAGUAGCUUGUCCUAAUCCUUGUUCGAAUUAGCAUGUCUCUUGAAGGAUCCAACUCCACGGAGGCAGCUGAUGAGAUUAGAUUAAUUAGGCACAAAAGGUGGGUGUGGCGGUGCCUCCUAUACAUAUACAGUGGUACGGUAGUAGGGCCUUCCAUUGUCCAAUCAUUUCUCUCUUUUUUUUUUCUUUAUCAAGUGGUGAAGUGGGCACAUAUAUAUAGUGUGUAUGCAUAUGCAUGAACGGUUCCAUCGAUCUGGCUGUCCACUCGGAUUAUCCAAAGUUGUAGAAUGCUCAAGUAAAGCGACAUCAAUCAUGGAUGGAUGGAUCGGAUCGCCUUUAGAAACUGCACUACACGGAUUAGUCAUGCCCGCGGCAUGGCAUUGGCGAGCUUUUUCUUUCACUCAUUUCAUAGAGUAGCAUGCAUUUUCAAGGUAGGUCAGUAGGUGGUUGCAGUGCAAGGAAUGGAAAGCUUGUCUGAUUGGGCUCUCAGUCACUCGGUCGGAAUAUAUUACUCAAUCGAUCGACGUUGGAAAAACCGUGAGUGGGUGCGUGGUACACCAUGCGUUGCCCUCCCUCGUCGCUCAUCCAUCGUCAAUCAAUCACCUUUGAAUUAUUUAAUUAAGCUAUCAAAAGAACUGGCCUGAAAACUCCCUCCGUCUCAUGCGUAACGUUGUAAUAAAUCAGCUAUAAAACUAAUAUGAAACGAGGCGAGUGGUACUUUGUGCAACGUCAUACUACCUUGUGUUUGGUGUUAACAUUCGUUCAGGUGUCGUUUUACAAGCGGUGUCAUAUUUAUGGGUAACAUCCCAAAACUUUUGGAGGAGGACCGACAGCAUUGCCAAAACUUUUGGUUUCCAAUUAGUUAGCCUGAAGUUCGAUCUGAAAGAUACUACACAUGCAUGCACGUAUGCAUUUGGAGGAGGUGGCCCGCCUCAUAGUUUUGGGGGUGCCACACAUAUAAUUGAACAACUACCUAGAUGAAUCACUGAUGGAAAAAGGGCCUUUGGUCGCGGUUCGCAACUGCCAUUAGUCGCGGUUGCGCAACCGCGACCGAACGGGCGCGACUAAAGGCCCCCCCCUUUAGUCGCGAUUGCUUAAGAACCGCGACUAAAGGCCCGUCCACGUGGGCGCCAGGUGGCCGUCGGGGCGGAGGACCUUUAGUCGCGGUUCUUCUGGCCAACCGCGACUAAAGGCCGCCGCAGGUUUAGGGUUUUAGCCCCCCCCCCUUAAACCUGUUUUCUGUUUAAUUUGUAUUGUUUUAUUUCUUUUGUGCUUUAUUUUAAUUUUGAAGGAGUUUCAUAUAUUCUACGGUACUACAUACAUGCAUAUGAAUGUACAAUUUCAAAUAAAUUUGAAAUUAGAACCAAAAAGAAUUCAAGAGGAAUAUACAAUAUAUAUUCAAUAUCAUCGGAUGACCAUAUACAAUUUUGAACAAGUUUCCAUACAUGAUUUAAUGCAUAUAAAGUUCUACGUCCUCGUAAUAGUGUUCUCCUUUAGGAUGGAGGACUUCCCUGUUGAACCAUCCAGCUAGUUCCUCUUGAAGUGGUCGGAAGCGAGCUUCUGGACUAAGCAUCCACCGGAGGUUAUUCCUCUGAGCAUUGGUAUCACUCGGAACCCGCUCAGAGGUGUAUCUCCGGAUCAUCUCACAGACAUAGUAUCCACAUAGAUUGGUCUCCGGUGGCUGAAUAUCCCCAGCAUUCUUAGCCUUUAACAUUUUGAAUUCUAGCUCUUUUUUGAAUUCACCGACCUUUGUAUCUACGAACCGUCUCCAAACCCUACGAGGCAAAGAAAAUUAAAUGAACAAGAGAGUUAUUAAUUAGUUACUUGAUAUUAGGAAAUGAACGAAAUAGGCCGAUCGAUAUAGAGCGCAAAUGAAUGAAAAUAAUUACUUCUGCAGCAUUCUUCUCAUGCCGCCCCAAAGCUUUGGAUCCAUAUUCACAGAGUCGUGGACGAGACAUUCUGAGGUGUGGAUUUGAAAAUAUGCAUUAUUUAAAAUGUUCACAAUUAUUUUUAAAAAAAUCACAAAAUUCUCUCUCUCUCUCUCUCUGCUCUCUCUCUCUGCUCUCUCUCUGCUCUCUCUCUCUGCUCUCUCUCUCUCUCUCUGCUCUCUCUCUCUGCUCUCUCUCUCUCUCUCUGCUCUCUCUCUCUCUCUCUCGAUCAACGCCGGCGAGGCCGGCCGCCGGCGAGGGUGGCGAGGCCUCUCCGGCGCGGGGCGGCGCGGUGGUGGGCGAGGGAGGCCGGCGCGGGCGGCGUACUAGGGCGAAAGGGGGCGGCGGGCGCCGUACNNNNNNNNNNNNNNNNNNNNNNNNNNNNNNNNNNNNNNNNNNNNNNNNNNNNNNNNNNNNNNNNNNNNNNNNNNNNNNNNNNNNNNNNNNNNNNNNNNNNNNNNNNNNNNNNNNNNNNNNNNNNNNNNNNNNNNNNNNNNNNNNNNNNNNNNNNNNNNNNNNNNNNNNNNNNNNNNNNNNNNNNNNNNNNNNNNNNNNNNNNNNNNNNNNNNNNNNNNNNNNNNNNNNNNNNNNNNNNNNNNNNNNNNNNNNNNNNNNNNNNNNNNNNNNNNNNNNNNNNNNNNNNNNNNNNNNNNNNNNNNNNNNNNNNNNNNNNNNNNNNNNNNNNNNNNNNNNNNNNNNNNNNNNNNNNNNNNNNNNNNNNNNNNNNNNNNNNNNNNNNNNNNNNNNNNNNNNNNNNNNNNNNNNNNNNNNNNNNNNNNNNNNNNNNNNNNNNNNNNNNNNNNNNNNNNNNNNNNNNNNNNNNNNNNNNNNNNNNNNNNNNNNNNNNNNNNNNNNNNNNNNNNNNNNNNNNNNNNNNNNNNNNNNNNNNNNNNNNNNNNNNNNNNNNNNNNNNNNNNNNNNNNNNNNNNNNNNNNNNNNNNNNNNNNNNNNNNNNNNNNNNNNNNNNNNNNNNNNNNNNNNNNNNNNNNNNNNNNNNNNNNNNNNNNNNNNNNNNNNNNNNNNNNNNNNNNNNNNNNNNNNNNNNNNNNNNNNNNNNNNNNUGCAUAAGAGGAACCAAAAGCAAACCUACACCCCCUUGUGAAGCUUGUGAAGAGAAGUGGCACCAAAUGGCUAAGUGAGCGUGCUGAACUGGUAUAUAUAGGGGAGGAGCUUUAGUCGCGGUUGGCCUGGCCAACCGCGACUAAAGGCCUUUGCGCACCUUUAGUCGCGGUUGGCCUGGCCAACCGCGACUAAAGCCCCUCACGUGCACCAGCUGGCCACCGAGCGCCCUGGGCCCAGGCCUUUGGUCGCGGUUCGUCUGCCGAACCGCGACUAAAGACUUCAUUAGUCGCGGUUCCUACAGUUUCGCGACUAAUGGGGCUGGACGGAAGCCUCUUUUUCUACCAGUGAAUGAAUCGAUCUCAUAUGCUGCCAAGGCCCAGCGUGCCCUGUUACUACUAGUAGAUAGGAAGACUAUAGGGUUGAUCGACCAAUGAUUCACAUGGAAGACGAGAGCAGUACUGGCUAGGACUAGCCAAUUCCAUGGUGUCAUCCAUGCCAUGCAUUUUGCCGGUGCCGCUGCGUAUGAUUUGGCCUUGGCAAGAUAUGUCGACUCUACUUCUUGUCCGAGAGAAGGACAUGGUAAGGGCAACUCCAACGUUCAUCAUCUAAUCGAUCUUAAAUGUUUGGACCCCAUCCAAUGCAGCUUAUAAAAAUAUCUGGACUAGUCCGGACAUCAAAAAAUCCACAAAUAGGAAUUAACUUGAGGUGUUAGGACGUCUAGUAUGUCGGAGUCCAACAACACCGACCCAACCAAAGCGACACCCAAGGCCUGCGUAUUAGGAUAAUCACGCCCCGUCCUCCUGAGCGAAACCUUGCUCUUCAUUGCUCCCUCUGCCCCAAUCGCCACCACCCCCUCCCAUUUUUGUAGUCCGCCGUCGUAAUGAAGCCACGGGAGGAGUCAAAGACGAUGUUCGUCGUCCCAAAGGACCCGGACCCAGAGGAGGUCGCAUCCGUGCUACGCAAAGGCAGGUGUGUCAAAUGAAGAAGAAGGCAGAGAAGACAGUGGAGGCCAGUUCAACCGCAGGCUUGGCCCACCUAGCUUGGGCCGCCUCGAACUCCGCCAUGAUAUUUUUCCAUGGCGAAGCCAACGGCCUCCGCCUCCUCCUCCAGCUCUGUCUCUUUUAUGGUGUCCUCUUCCUCCAUGGGUGCGUCCUGCUCUGCCACCUCCCUCUCCUCCUCCUUCGUCUUCAGCGAGUCCGGAGGCCGGCCGGCUGCGAUCCGAGCUUCACGCCUGUCCUGGAUCUCCUAGAGCAGCUGGAGAAGCCGCUCCGGCAUGAACACAACGUAGGUGGUCACCCUCUGUCGGGCCAUGGUUGUCGGUGGUCGGCGAGCAGAGAGGGAGGGAAGUGGAGGUGCCUCGGACUGGCAGCACGGAGAGGGAGUGAACUUGAUGCGGCUAGGGCUGGGGGUCACCGUCCGGCUUAAAUAGCCGGACUUUGGAUNNNNNNNNNNNNNNNNNNNNNNNNNNNNNNNNNNNNNNNNNNNNNNNNNNNNNNNNNNNNNNNNNNNNNNNNNNNNNNNNNNNNNNNNNNNNNNNNNNNNNNNNNNNNNNNNNNNNNNNNNNNNNNNNNNNNNNNNNNNNNNNNNNNNNNNNNNNNNNNNNNNNNNNNNNNNNNNNNNNNNNNNNNNNNNNNNNNNNNNNNNNNNNNNNNNNNNNNNNNNNNNNNNNNNNNNNNNNNNNNNNNNNNNNNNNNNNNNNNNNNNNNNNNNNNNNNNNNNNNNNNNNNNNNNNNNNNNNNNNNNNNNNNNNNNNNNNNNNNNNNNNNNNNNNNNNNCCCCACCAUCAAUCCGACACGACGGACAUGCCCGGGCCGCCACAAAAUUGUGCUAGUUAUGAGGGGUGUCGGUCAGCCCUGACGUAUAGGGUCGUCAUGAGGAGUCCGUUUAGGUCAUUUUUUUCUAAUCGGUCAGCAACCGAGCAGUCUGUCCGGGCUUUAGGGGGAGCACGGUGUAGAUGCUCUAAUGGAGCAAAAGAUAUAAGUGUAUAAAUGCAUAGUCGAACAUCGUCAUUUCAUCCUGGCUAGAUAGUCAGUCUCUCGUGCAGGAUACCUGACCUGCUGCCUCAACACAUGCACUUGUCGUACAUGGGGUCGGAUGCAUGAACGACCUGCUUACGUACGACGUCCAGUACGUUCUUAUAUCGAGACCCAUGCGUCGUACGUGCGUGCAGUAGCAACGUUAGCUGUGACAAGGUGACGAACAUGAUAUCAUAUAUCGUGCCUGCAUCCAAAUGGACCGAAGUUCCCUAUUCCCUAUCUACAUAAACAUACGUCACAUGUUCCUACUCUCUCUUGUGCCGUGUCUAUCUCUUGUUCACGCAGUGCUUCUCAUGACAUGUGCACUUUCCUCCUUGAUAAGUAGCUAGCUAGCUACCAGGAGUACUAUGUGUAUCAUUUUCAGCCUAGACAAUCUUGAAAACGUACUUACCCUUGUCAUGACAUGUGUAUCAAUCUUAGUUGGCUCCUCUUCCUACACUUCUUUUAAUAUUUCCCGCAAAAAAAAGACUUCUUUUAAUAUUACUUUCUUGGUUUUGUAGGAUUGGAUUGAAGACCAUAGGAAUUUUACCUAUGGCCUAUUCUGCAUACAAUUUUUUUUUUAAAAAUAUUCGUCUAAUUAUUAUUUUUCCUUUGGUGAACUACAUAGAGGUCCUAAUGUAGUUACUUAUUUUUUUUAGAAAUGGAUGGUUUGGUGAGUCGAGAAAAGAAGAGAUAACUUCCACGUCAGUUGGUUUUGUCAUCACAUAUUUUUGGUGCGGCGAGACUGAUCUUACUUGGAAAGUGCGUGCAUGGAGAGUCCACGCAUGCAUGACUUGGUGAUGCUUGGAAUUACUCCUACUAGCUAGUACGUAUCAUCAUAUCCUAUCUUUUGGGAUUGGAUGAUGUCAAUAACCAUGCUACUAUACUACAACAGCGAAUACGUAACAUAUCCUUUAUAUAGGUCUAUCAUUUCAGGAUGGAAAUAGCAUGUCAUCCUAUCUAUACCAUUCAUGGUCUCAACCACGUUAUUAUCAUUAUCAUUAUAGUACGUACCACCCUUAUAGCUAGCUACCUGGCAUAGUACGUACUUCACGGUUGGUCUGGCCUGCGCCUGGACCAGGGCAUGCAUGCAUCCAUGACUCUGUUGGCAGGAAAGAAGGGAGGGAGGGAGCGACGUCUCAACUCGAUCGAGCCAAGUUGCAGUGGAAGGCAGGAUAUGGCAUGUCAUUGAUUCGGCGAUGGCAGCGGCGGAACCACCGCCGUCCAUUCCAACGAAGAACAAGGCAGAGCAACACAUGCAGCUUGGUGACUUGGUGAGGCGAGUACAGUAGUGGGCAAGAAAACAUACGUCGCUGCUUGGUACUCCCUUCGUUCGGAAUUACUUGUCACAAAAAUGGAGGUAUCUACAACUAAAAUACAUCUAGAUAUAUUUAUUUUUUAAACGAGUAAUUCCGGAAGGAGGAAGUACAAUCAUGAUCAUGAAUCCCAAGAGCAUCCAAUCACUACUUCAUUCACAAGCAGGUUGAUCAAUUGACUGAUGGCGCUACCGGCUACGAGCAUUCUAACUGCUGGCCACCGCCUCCUCCUAACUACACUAAUAAAUUGUGCGCUACUGUACAUGGGAGACAAAUCGAAUAUCCAUUUCUUUCACAACUUAUAACACGGAUCUCAGGCAUAACAGAAUUAUAUAUGUAAAAACAAAAUGCAAUAGUAAAAAAUUCUAUAUAUAAUGCUAAAACAAAGAAAAGGAAUAAUCAAAAAGGAUGUCUUGGAUUUCCAAAUUAUAAAACACUUAGACAUCAAGGUUUUAGGGAAAGUUUCAGGUGAUACCGGACUUCAUAUGCUACCGUGAUAGAGGCUUCUAGGCCGUUGGAUCUCAAGUCUGUUGUACCUGCGCGCAAUUUUGAGACUCUUUGAUGACUUUUCUGCAAAAUGUUCAAGAGCUCCUAGUAGCCGUUUGAUCUGAGAUCUAAUGGCUCCCACGGGUCCGUAUCUCGGUAUCAUCUUUGGUAUUUGUUGAUCCGCCGAUCCGUUAUUGAACCUCUUCGUGGCCGUCGUACUCCACAUCAGCCCUUGCCGCCAGGCUGUACCUCCUCUCCAGUUUCCGGAGCAAGCAGCCGUCUGUACCCUUGAACUUGUACAAGCGCCUCCCUGCCAAGGGCGACAUGCUCCUAUGACCAUGCCAUGCAUGGAAAUUCUCCGCCAAGGGCGACAUGCUACUAUUACACGUACUACCCUGAAAUUAAUUUCCUUUUGUGUGCUCAGAGGAUCAGAAAAAAUAAGAAAGAUUGGAGUGGAUAGAUACUCUGAACAUUCAGAAGCUUCCCCUCAAUAAUUAAAGAACUCAGUUUAGAAUGGAAGACAACAAAGCGGCAGAUGCGGCAUUGCUUUCAUCCAACAUAUUUCUUUGUUCCACUACAUUCCAUGCCAUACCAUACACGGUGGUGCUGGUGUGCAUGUAAAGAAACAUCCUUCUUCUUCUUUGGAUACGUGUAGCGUGCGGAAUAAAG
rnacentral:lncRNA from 1 species